UUUUUUUUUUUUUUUUUUUUCACCUCUUUAGUUAGUAUUUCAGGAAAGUAAUCAAAUUGUUCCUGGAACUAAAGGUUUUUUUUUGUUGUUGUUGUUUUUUGGUUUUUUUUUAUAUAUAUAUAUAUAUACUGGGUUCUGGGCUUUUUGUUUGUUAUGUUUUGUUUUGUUUUUCAAGACAGGGUUUCUCUGUGUAGCCCUGACUGUCCUUGAAUUUGCUCUUUAGACCAGGCUGGACUUGAACUCAGAGAUCCACCUGCCUCUGCCUCUGGAGUGCUGGGGUUAAAGGUGUGCACCACACCCACCAGGCUUUAUAUACUGGUUUUUUAAGAUUGGGUGGUGGUGGUAUUUCACCUGAAUGUAAGUGUGUAUAUUAUGUAUAUGCCUGGUGCCUGGGAGGCCAGAAGAAGGUGUCAGAUCCUCUGGAACUGGGGUUACAGACAGUUGUUAGCCACCAUGUUGGUGCUGGGAACUGAACCUGAGUUCUCUGGAAGAGCAGCCUGUGCUUAGCUUAGCUGUCUCUCCAGCCCUGGAACUAAAAGUUUAACUUGGGGCGAUAGUAGAUACACUGUGGUCUGUAUGAGAAGUAGCAAGCCUCCUGGCCAUCUCACAGACAGGCUGUUAACACUGCUUUUGAAAAUAGUUUAUGUUUAUUCAGAAGAGAACAAAGUGUCGUCAGAAUGAAGACGCUGUGCGGAGGGAGAGUUUCCCUUUUCAGAAUCAUCUUUUUUAAGAAAGGAAGAAAGGGAGAAGGCGAAGCUUCCGCCCUACACCAUCUCCCUUGUGCAUCAUCUCAACACUUGCAGACUGCUAGGAGUCGGGAAAAGCAGCUUUGUCCUGCCAUUGCUUCGUUAGAGCCUUGAAUGCCAGGCUAGAUUGUAGAGCAUCCCUCUCACGCCCUAGGCAUUUUUCUUGAGGGAUGGAGUUAUCAGGGCUCCGGGGAUAGAACCCAGGGCUUCAUGCAUGCCAAGCAUGUACUCUACCUCUGAACUGCACCCCCAGCUCCUGCUUCAAGCUUUAAAACUCUUAGGAAACAGUUGAAAUAGAGUGAAAAAUAUUUUCUCAAGGAACUUCAGAAUUCACCCAUGAAUUAUUUUUGUAGUGGUUUCACAAAAUGAGUUAAAAAUAAUUACCAAUAUUUAUGAUGUUUUUAAAGUGUUAACUAAUGAUAUUAAUAUUAACUCAGCAUUUAGUUUGGUUACAGAGUACUACAACAGGACUCAACAAUAGAAAUUCAUAGGAAACUUCUGUGGGAGAAGUUGGGGAGAGUAUCAGGAAAAAACAAUGUUAAAAUUAUAUUUAUAGGUACAUUAAAGAUCUAUGGUAUAGUAUUUCUGUUUCAUUGACAGAUGCAAUUUUAAAUGGUUUGCUUUAUUUUAAAGUGGCACUACAAAAUGUAUCAGAAAUUACAUUAUUACAAUCAUAUAAGCUUUAAUGGAACAUUCUAGAAGUCAAUUUAUAUGUGUGAGAAGAUAUCAGUUUUUUUUUAAUCUUCGAGGCUGUGAGAGCAGAAUUUUUAGAAACAGUUGACAUAAGCAGUCCAUUCACUGCUCCUGUUCUUGACCUCCUCACCUUAACCUGCCAUUUCCACCUUGACCACCUUCUUUCAUCCAGACACAACAGCUGCCAGUUUCCAAGUCUGUGACCACGAUUGUACUCUUCUUGCUCCCCUUCAGACCUCCGGUUCUUCCAGAAGAUGAUUAACUCAAUUGUUUCACUCAAAACAAGAGCAAAGUUCAUCAGAGCUCUCUACUGCUGCUUCGUGUGUGUGUGUGUGUGUGUGUGUGUGUGUGUGUGUGUGUGUGUGUGUAUACUUGUGGAAGCCUUGAAGUUGAUGUUGUGUCUUCUAUUUCUCUCCAUUUUGUUCAUUGAGGCAGGGUCUCUCACUGAACCUGGAGCUUGCCAAUCCUGGCUGAUCUAGCUAGCCAGCUUGCCGCAGGGGCCCUUGUGUCUACCUCCAGAGUUCUGGGAUUGUAGAGAGGGCCUGCACACCUACCUGGUUUUUAUGUGGGGCUGGGAGUCCAUGUUCUGCUCCCCAUGCUUGUACAGCAAGCGAUCUCCCCGCUCUGCCGCCUCCCCAGGCCCUCCGGCUGCUGCGUCCUCUGGUGCUCCCUACCUCUCAUCCCCCGGACUGGUGGCUGUUCUCAGAUCCAGACUCUCGGUUUGUGCAUAGGAACUUCAUUCCUAAAAUGGUUCCCUCAAUUAUCUAGGUUUCUCCUCCUCCUGGGUUUUUCCUUUGUACUGUUAUGUUUCUAAUCUUAAAAACUAGAGCCGGGCGGUGGUGGCGCAUGCCUUUAAUCCCAGCACUUGGGAGGCAGAAGCAGGCGGGAUCUCUGUGAGUUCGAGGCCAGCCUGGUCUACAAAGCGAGUUCCAGGAAAGGUGCAAAGCUACACAGAGAAACCCUGUCUCGAAAAACCAAAAAAAAACAAACAAAAGAACAGGGCUGGAGAGAUGGCUCAGUGCUUAAGAGCACUGAAUGCUCUUCCAGACGACCAGGGUUCAAUCCCCAGGACCCACAUGGCAGCUCAUAACUGUAACUCCAGUUUCCUGGAAAAACACCAAUGCACAUAAAGAAAUAAAAUUAAUUAAAAAACUAGAAAGAACAAUCAAGAUAAUAGUCCCACAUCCCAUGCUAACUGCGCUGUGUGUGUGUGUGUGUGUGUGUGUGUGUGUGUGUGUGUGUGUUUUGCCAUAACUUUAUGGUUGUUUUUUGUUCUUAAUCUGAGGAGCUGAAGAGAUGGCUUACAAAGUUAAGAAUAGCACUUGCUGCUCUUCCAGAAGCCCUGGGUUCCAUUCCCAGCACCCACUGGCUGCUCACAGCUGUUGGUAAUUCCAGUUCCAUGGCAUCUAAUGCUUGCACUCAUACAGACCUACGCAAAUACACAUAAACAAAAAUAAUUCUUUUUAAAUUCUGUUUUUCUGUCUUCACUGUCCUUGCUGGAGUGGCUCUGUCUGGUAUACUAAAUGACACUGCUUUCACAGUAUCAGAUUUGACUUCUCCGUCAUGAUCUUUUCCUGCUAACACCUGACACAGCUCCCCCAUCUAAACAUGCACUCUCAGCCUCCAGAGUUUAAAAUACUCUCGUUCUUCCCGUUGCCUGUGGUUCCAUCUCAUUCUGUCCUAAGUACUGCGGUGUUCUAGGCUAGGCCUUCAGGACUGUCUACGAUCCUUGGAAAGCUCAUGCUCUCUGGUGCCUCUACUCAGAAUCUGAUGACUCCCAGAGGCCUGCCAGCAUCCCAGCUACCACAUCCAGGCUCGCACAUUCAACUGCCCCCAGCACUUCUUCCUCAUGGCAACUGGACAUCUCACACUUGCCACAGGAUUUUCAUACCCCCGUUAGACGGCUGUACUUCUCUGCCUUCUUGUCUGUGGAGAAUGACAGUUCCACCUUGAGUUUCUCAGGCUAAGAUCUGUGAAGUCAGCUUUUCCUCAUAGACCCUGCGACUAUUUCGUCCACAUGUUCUGUCAGCCCAUCAAAAUAUAUCCAUCAGCCCGCCUUCCUGCUCCUCCCCUCAUCUAGGCCACCCCAGUCACCUCUGUCAGGACUGCCACAGUAGCCCCCCAGUCUGUCUUCUUGCGCCCACUUAGUCCUGUCUCAUUAUUGCCUCCAAAUUGGCUAAACCGAUCGGGCUGAAUCAGUCUUUCCUCUUCAUAAAUUCCUGCAGUGGCUUCUUAUGUAAACUCCAAAGGUCUCGUAGUGGUCUAAACAGCCCCCUCUUCGUCAGGCUUCAAGCCCCGACUUCUAGCCUUCUCCUUUUGCCCACUCUGGUCCAGCCACGUUGACCACCCGUGCACCUCCAGGACUCUCAGCCACAGACCUGUACACAUCUUCCCUCUUCUUCAACACCUCUGUCUCCCAUUUCCAGUUUGCUUGCUCCUUCUCUCCUUCUCCAGAGGCCACUCCCCGAACACUCAUGUUCAAAAUGCCCCGUGUUCCUCCACCCCACGAAACCUUAGCCAGCCUCGUCUAUGACGGGAGAAAGAUCCUAACUCUGUACUCUCACCAGAGGAUGGCUAUCUAGACUUUACCUCCUCACAGAAUUUAAUAUUUUUCAUCCAGCCAAAAUGAUGAGCCUAAAGUUUAAGUUUGUGAGAGUGUAUAAAGACAUAAAUAGAAAAAACCCGAAUGAAAGGAGAUUUUCCAAGGACAUAUUAUUUACUUUACAUUCUUUUCUCCUCUUCCUUUCUUUCUUUCUUUCUUUCUUUCUUUCUUUUUUUUUUUUUUUUGUAAGUUUCUUAUUUGAAUGUUUCCUCCCACUAAAAUGUAAGCUCCUUGAGAGCAGGAACUGUGUGUGUCCCAUCCGCCACCCAACAGCUGUAUUUUCAGUGACACACAGUCAGUUCUUAAUAAAUAUUUUUUGAAUAA